UACGUAGGGGGCAAGCGUUGUCCGGAUUUAUUGGGCGUAAAGAGCGUGUAGGCGGCCAUGUAGGUCCGUUGUGAAAACUCGAGGCUCAACCUCGAGACGCCGAUGGAAACCAUGUGGCUAGAGUCCGGAAGAGGAGAGUGGAAUUCCUGGUGUAGCGGUGAAAUGCGCAGAUAUCAGGAGGAACACCCGUGGCUAAGGCGGCUCUCUAGUACGGUACUGACGCUGAGACGCGAAAGCGUGGGGAGCGAACAGG
rnacentral:rRNA from 1 species